ACCUACAUUAUGGCCAGAAGUAGGAUGUGGACAGUGCAAGAAAUUCCCAGAUGUGUCACAAGGCAUAUUGACAUUGGAAGCAACUCCAAAUUUGGUAUUAGAAGCAAUGAAAACAACUCUCAUCAUCAUCGUCAUUAACAACCAUGGGCUCAACUCCCGCAAACAACCCUGCUUCUCCACAACAUUCCUACCAGAUAUAACCAGUACAGGCUUUUGUAUGAAAUGACUUUUCAGGAUGGAAUGAUGCCCAGCUCUUUGAUCACAACAACAGCUACCUACCUCCUCCUUCCUCCCAACAGAUGGUUGCCAUAGGGCAGAAAUGGAAGGUGCUGGGGAGUUGAUUGACCCUUCUCCAAACAGUUAGUAUUCAGGUUUAGUUUGUAACUAAGCAAGUGAAGUUCCGGGCCACAUUUAUGCAAACAUUAUAAACACCUGAAAACUGAAUAUUGAACAACUGAUCUCAAAUCCAUUAUGCCAGGAAACCUCAAGCUUGGCACACUACUUUUCUCUGCACAAGUGUAGUCUGGGACCUAACAAUAUUUUUUAUGGAGAAUAUUCAGUAUAGGUUUUCAAACAUUCAUAACCCCCUCUAGGAACAAAAAAAAUCACUUCUUUACAAUAUGGUUCUCUAGCUCCAGGACACACAGAUGUUGUGAAUCUGCUGAAGGCAUGGACUAUUUUUUAAAAAGUCCUGAGCUUCCAUAUUUGCUACUUCUUCUCUCUCUAUCUUGCUAAUAGCCUGACUAGCACUAAUACAGUUCAUUGUUUCCUCCAGAAGCUUCCUAUAACAAAAAUUCUUGCAUCAUGAAAACACACUGUGCAGCUUUUCCUGUUGUGAAUUCUCCCUUCACUCUCUUCCUUAUAUAUGAAUAUCUCCAACACAGGGUAUGUUUACAGUAUGGGACAAGGUCGAAUUAAGAUAUGCAACUUCAGCUUAACUCCACCUUUGGUGCUGUCUACACUGCAGAAA